rnacentral:rRNA from 1 species
AAUAUUGGACAAUGGGCGAAAGCCUGAACCAGCUAUGCCGCGUGUGUGAAUAAGGUCAUUGGUUUGUAAAGCAUUUUAAGUUGGGAGUAAGGGUUGUUGAUUAAUACGCUGCAAUGUUGCCGUUACCGACAGAAUAAGCCCCGGCUUACUACUUGCCAGCAGCCGCGGUAAUACGAAGGGUGCAAGCGUUAAUCGGAAUUAACGGGCGUAAAUGGCGCGUAGGUGGUUCGUUAAGUUGGAUGUGAAAGCCACGGGCUCAACCUGGGAACUGCAUCCAAAACUGGCGAGCUAGAGUUCGAUAGAGGGUGGUGGAAUUUCAUGUGUAGCGGUAAAAUGCGUAGAUAUAGGAAGGAACACCAGUGGCGAAGGCGACCACCUGGACUGAUACUGACACUGAGGUGCGAAAGCGUGGGGAGCAAACAGG